rnacentral:rRNA from 1 species
GUUCAAGGAUGGUUCAAAAAAAACGCCCGAUCUCGUCAGCUAAGCAGGGUCGGGCCUGGUUAGUACUUGGAUGGGAGACCGCCUGGGAAUACCAGGUGCUGUAAGCU